UUCGGUGUGAGUAAAGCGGCGGACGGGUGAGUAACGCGUAGGAAUCUACCUAGUAGUGGGGGACAACUCGGGGAAACUCGAGCUAAUACCGCAUACGCCCUACGGGGGAAAGCGGGGGACCUUCGGGCCUCGUGCUAUUAGAUGAGCCUGCGUUGGAUUAGCUAGUUGGUGGGGUAAUGGCCUACCAAGGCGACGAUCCAUAGCUGGUCUGAGAGGAUGAUCAGCCACACCGGGACUGAGACACGGCCCGGACUCCUACGGGAGGCAGCAGUGGGGAAUAUUGCGCAAUGGGCGAAAGCCUGACGCAGCCAUGCCGCGUGUGUGAAGAAGGCCUUCGGGUUGUAAAGCACUUUCAAUUGGGAGGAAAGGCUCACGACUAAUACUCGUGAGCUGUGACGUUACCUUUAGAAGAAGCACCGGCUAACUCCGUGCCAGCAGCCGCGGUAAUACGGAGGGUGCGAGCGUUAAUCGGAAUUACUGGGCGUAAAGCGCGCGUAGGUGGUCUGUUAAGUCGGAUGUGAAAGCCCCGGGCUCAACCUGGGAACUGCAUCCGAUACUGGCAGACUAGAGUGCGGGAGAGGGAGGUAGAAUUCCACGUGUAGCGGUGAAACGCGUAGAUAUGUGGAGGAAUACCAGUGGCGAAGGCGGCCUCCUGGCUCGACACUGACACUGAGGUGCGAAAGCGUGGGUAGCAAACAGGAUUAGAUACCCUGGUAGUCCACGCCGUAAACGAUGUCUACUAGCUGUAGGGGUACUUGAGACCUUUGUAGCGCAGCUAACGCACUAAGUAGACCGCCUGGGGAGUACGGCCGCAAGGUUAAAACUCAAAUGAAUUGACGGGGGCCCGCACAAGCAGUGGAGCAUGUGGGUUUAAUUCGAUGCAACGCGAAGAACCUUACCAGGCCUUGACAUCCUCGGAACUUU
rnacentral:rRNA from 1 species